rnacentral:rRNA from 1 species
ACAAGCGGAGGAGCAUGUGGUUAAUUCGAUGAUACGCGAGGAACCUUACCUGGGCUCGAACGUAAGAUGACUGUAGGUGAAAGCUUACAUCUCUUCGGAGCAUUUUACGAGGUGCUGCAUGGUUGUCGUCAGCUCGUGCCGUGAGGUGUCGGGUUAAGUCCCAUAACGAGCGCAACCCUACCUUUAGUUGCCAUCAGGUAAUGCUGGGGACUCUAAAGGAACUGCCUACGCAAGUAGUGAGGAAGGCGGGGAUGACGUCAAAUCAGCACGGCCCUUACGUCCAGGGCUACACACGUGCUACAAUGGCCGAUACAGAGGGCAGCUACCUGGUGACAGGAUGCAAAUCUCCAAAGUCGGUCUCAGUUCGGAUCGGAGUCUGCAACCCGACUCCGUGAAGUUGGAUUCGCUAGUAAUCGCGCAUCAGCCAUGGCGCGGUGAAUACGUUCCCGGGCCUU